GAUGAACGCUGGCGGCGUGCCUAAUACAUGCAAGUCGAGCGAACAGACGAGGAGCUUGCUCCUCUGACGUUAGCGGCGGACGGGUGAGUAACACGUGGAUAACCUACCUAUAAGACUGGGAUAACUUCGGGAAACCGGAUCUAAUACCGGAUAAUAUAUUGAACCGCAUGGUUCAAUAGUGAAAGACGGUUUUGCUGUCACUUAUAGAUGGAUCCGCGCCGCAUUAGCUAGUUGUUAAGGUAACGGCUUACCAAGGCAACGAUGCGUAGCCGACCUGAGAGGGUGAUAGGCCACACUGGAACUGAGACAGCGUCAAGACUCCUACGGGAGGCAGCAGUAGGGAAUCUUCCGCAAUGGGCGAAAGCCUGACGGAGCAACGCCGCGUGAGUGAUGAAGGUCUUCGGAUCGUAAAACCCUGUUAUUAGGGAAGAACAAAUGUGUAAGUAACUAUGCACGUCUUGACGGUACCUAAUCAGAAAGCCACGGCUAACUACGUG
rnacentral:rRNA from 1 species